rnacentral:rRNA from 1 species
AGAGUUUGAUCCUGGCUCAGAUUGAACGCUGGCGGCAUGCCUAACACAUGCAAGUCGCACGCGAAAGGGGGCAACCCCGAGUAGAGUGGCGGACGGGUGCGUAAUACGCAGGAAUCUACCCACGAGUGGGGGACAACCCGGGGAAACCCGGGCUAAUACCGCGUGAGACCUACGGGUGAAAGCGGGGGAUCGCAAGACCUCGCGCUGGUGGAUGAGCCUGCGUCCGAUUAGCUAGUUGGUAGGGUAAAAGCCUACCAAGGCAACGAUCGGUAGCUGGUCUGAGAGGACGACCAGCCACACUGGGACUGAGACACGGCCCAGACUCCUACGGGAGGCAGCAGUGGGGAAUAUUGGACAAUGGGGGCAACCCUGAUCCAGCAAUGCCGCGUGUGUGAAGAAGGCCUUCGGGUUGUAAAGCACUUUCGAUGGGGACAAACGUGUCGGGCUUAAUACGUCCGGCCUUGAUGGUACCCAGAGAAGAAGCACCGGCUAACUCUGUGCCAGCAGCCGCGGUAAUACAGAGGGUGCAAGCGUUAAUCGGAAUUACUGGGCGUAAAGCGUGCGUAGGUGGUUGGAUAAGUCAGGUGUGAAAUCCCCGAGCUCAACUUGGGAAUUGCGCUUGAUACUGUCCGGCUAGAGUGUGGUAGAGGGUAGUGGAAUUCCGCAUGUAGCGGUGAAAUGCGUAGAUAUGCGGAGGAACAUCAGUGGCGAAGGCGGCUACCUGGACCAACACUGACACUGAGGCACGAAAGCGUGGGUAGCAAACAGGAUUAGAUACCCUGGUAGUCC